CUGAGCUCGGUCAUCGGCGGGUGGCCAGCUUUGUCUCUGCAGCUCCGCGGCCCCGGCUUACUCGAAGGUCCCCGGGGAAUAGCCUCACCUUUGCCCCACUUCCCAGUCUAACCCCUAACUUCCCGCCGUCUAUUGGCUGCGCAGCCGCCCAAUGGGCAGGCGGAAACCGCGGGCUCGUGCUCCAGGCCUAGGGCGUCUUAUCUCGUUCGCGCGUCUCGCGAGCAUUAGGUGACUGGCUGAGGCGGCGCAAGUUGGCCAGGCGACGGGCUGCUGUAAGGCCGAGGUUGCGGCGGAAGCAGAGACCAUGUUCCGAGCCGCGGCUCCGGGGCAGCUCCGGCGGGCGGCCUCAUUGCUACGAUUUCAGAGUACCCUGGUAAUAGCUGAGCAUGCAGAUGAUUCUCUAGCACCCAUUACUUUAAAUACCAUUACUGCAGCCACACGCCUUGGAGGUGAAGUGUCCUGCUUAGUAGCUGGAACCAAAUGUGACAAGGUGGCACAAGAUCUCUGUAAAGUAGCAGGCAUAGCAAAAGUUCUGGUGGCCCAGCAUGAUGUGUACAGAGGCCUACUUCCAGAGGAACUGACACCAUUGAUUUUGGCAACUCAGAAGCAGUUCAAUUACACACACAUCUGUGCUGGAGCAUCUGCCUUCGGAAAGAACCUUUUGCCCAGAGUAGCAGCCAAACUUGAGGUUGCCCCGAUUUCUGACAUCAUUGCAAUCAAGUCACCUGACACAUUUGUGAGAACUAUUUAUGCAGGAAAUGCUCUAUGUACAGUGAAGUGUGAUGAGAAAGUGAAAGUGUUUUCUGUCCGUGGAACAUCCUUUGAAGCUGCAGCAACAAGUGGCGGUAGUGCCAGUUCAGAAAAGGCAUCAAGUACUUCACCAGUGGAAAUAUCAGAGUGGCUUGACCAGAAAUUAACAAAAAGUGAUCGACCAGAGCUAACAGGUGCCAAAGUGGUGGUAUCCGGUGGUCGAGGCUUGAAGAGUGGAGAGAACUUUAAGUUGUUAUAUGACUUGGCAGAUCAACUACAUGCUGCAGUUGGUGCUUCCCGUGCUGCUGUUGAUGCUGGCUUUGUUCCCAAUGACAUGCAAGUUGGACAGACAGGAAAAAUAGUAGCACCAGAACUUUAUAUUGCUGUUGGAAUAUCUGGAGCCAUCCAACAUUUAGCUGGGAUGAAAGACAGCAAGGUAAUUGUAAAUCAGUGAUGUUAAAAGAAAACGUUUCCACAUUUUAGGAUUUGGCUUACCUUGUAUGUUUCCAUGUGGUUACAGUGCAUGCAGUCAAGCCAUUCACACUAACGUAGAUCUGGGAACUGAAAGAAAUAAAAGCUACCGUUCACUGCCUUAAAAAUUAUUGGUCACAGAGGCAGUGCUGUGUCAUGGAAAGAGGCCUGAACCUGAGUUAUAGCUCCACUGCUAACUUAAUGCAUGAUGAGUGCUGUCUGCAAACUCAGUUUCUUUGUCUACUAAAUGUGGGUAUUGAAUGAUGAUCACUAAGUUGCCCUUCAGCUGUGACAAUCUGUGGAUAGAAAAUAUCAGCCUUAAACAAUUUGAUGAGGUUCUGAACGUGUAACUUAUUUUUGAGGAUGGUCUUGAUCUCCUGACCUCGUGAUCCAUACGCUUCAGCCUCCCAGAGUGCUGGGAUUACAGGCAUAAGCCACCGCGCCCGGCCAGGAAACACUUGAUUUUAACUUGCUACUUGGACUACUCUGAAAGUCCUGUGUAAUGAUUCUGAACAUAUAUUUCAGAAUAUGACACAUUAAUUCAUGCAUAAUAAUGUAUAGUUUGAAUUAUGAACUUAUCUUUCAUGAAGUCAGAGAUGCCUCUGACAUUCCUGCAUUUAUCCAUUCAGAUGGAAGCUUGAUAUAAAAGAUAAUAAAACUUUUAACAGGCUUAACUUCUUCUAACUUGAAAUGCGUGCACUACCUCUUUGUAGCUUCUAAAUGAACUGGCCCAAAACCAGUCAGAUUUUACAGUUGGAUGGUAGGUUUCUUUCCUGAGCUAUGAAAACAGCAGUGCCAAUGGGGAAAAUGUGAUUGCUGCAUUAAGAAAAAAUAAAUAAAUAAAUAAAAGAAACUCCAACGCCAGCAGCCUUACAGUAUAUUUUUAGCCAGACAAGUUCAGACAUAACUAGAAUUCUGCUUCUCUAAAAAUAAAAGAUUCUGCCUGUCAAGAAGAUACCAGUGAAAAUUCUUACCCCAUGCCAACAGGGCUGCAUUGUGGGAGAGACACUAGGUAGUGUACGUCAGAGCAAAUAGGGAACAGUUGAAGUAAGGAGACUGGUGUUGGGGGUCAGCCAAGACUUUGUAUCUCCAUCUAGUCAACAGACGUUUAUUAAGACCUUUCCUUGUACUAGAAGCUGGGAAUGCUUAAAUGAAAAAGACAUAGCCCUUGUUGUCACUGUUUCAUCCUGUUGUCUGUGUCGUCCUGUGUUGUCAUAGCCCCAUUAUCUGCAUAGGAGACAGACAGUCUUUAGUUCUAAAAUGGGAUAUUAGAAUGGUUUAAAUCUGACAGUUGCAUUCCCUACAAGCUGCAAUUUUAAUUAGAAUCCUGGUUUAGUUAAAGGAAUUCAAGAUUUGAUUGUUAAAUCAAAUGAAUCUAAUGAAAGCACUUUCUGAACUAAUACAUAGUAAUAUGGUUGAGGCCAUAUGCACUCCCAGCACUUUGGGAGGCCGAGGCGGGCAGAUCACCUGAGGUCAGGAGAUCGAGACCAUCCUGGCUAACAUGAUGAAACCCCAUCUCUACUGAAAAUACAAAAAAUUAGCCGGGCAUGGUGGCAGGCGCCUGUAGUCCCAGCUACUUGGGAGGCUGAGGCAGAAGAAUGGCGUGAAUCUGGGAGGCAGAGGCUGCAGUGAGCCGAGAUCGCGCCACUGCACUCCAGCCACGGUGACAGAACGAGACU